GCCCGCCUAGCUCAAUCGGCCAGAGCGUCAGACUUUUACGCAUGCAUCAGCGUGUAAUCUGAAGGCUGCGAGUUCGACCCUCGCGGUGGGCU
rnacentral:tRNA from 1 species